rnacentral:rRNA from 1 species
AGAACGAACGCUGGCGGCAUGCCUAAUACAUGCAAGUCGAACGAACACUUCGGUGUUAGUGGCGCACGGGUGCGUAACGCGUGGGAAUCUGCCCUUGGGUUCGGAAUAACAGUUGGAAACGACUGCUAAUACCGGAUGAUAUCGAAAGAUCAAAGAUUUAUCGCCCAGGGAUGACGCCCGCGUAGGAUUAGCUAGUUGGUGAGGUAAAGCUCACCAAGGCGACGAUCCUUAGCUGGUCU